rnacentral:rRNA from 1 species
GACGAACGCUGGCGGCGUGCCUAAUACAUGCAAGUAGAACGCUGAAGGAGGAGCUUGCUUCUCUGGAUGAGUUGCGAACGGGUGAGUAACGCGUAGGUAACCUGCCUGGUAGCGGGGGAUAACUAUUGGAAACGAUAGCUAAUACCGCAUAAGAGUAGAUGUUGCAUGACAUUUGCUUAAAAGGUGCAAUUGCAUCACUACCAGAUGGACCUGCGUUGUAUUAGCUAGUUGGUGGGGUAACGGCUCACCAAGGCGACGAUACAUAGCCGACCUGAGAGGGUGAUCGGCCACACUGGGACUGAGACACGGCCCAGACUCCUACGGGAGGCAGCAGUAGGGAAUCUUCGGCAAUGGACGGAAGUCUGACCGAGCAACGCCGCGUGAGUGAAGAAGGUUGUCGGAUCGUAAAGCUCUGUUGUAAGAGAAGAACGAGUGUGAGUGUGGAAAGUUCACACUGUGACGGUAUCUUACCAGAAAGGGACGGCUAACUACGUG